rnacentral:rRNA from 1 species
ACUCCUAUUUGGAGAGCAGCAGUGGGGAAUAUUGCGCAAUGGGCGAAAGCCCGACGCAGCGACGCCGCGUGAGGGAUGACGGCCUUCGGGUUGUAAACCUCUUUCAGCAGGGACGAAGCGCAAGUGACGGUACCUGCAGAAGAAGCACCGGCCAACUACGUGCCAGCAGCCGCGGUAAUACGUAGGGUGCAAGCGUUGUCCGGAAUUAUUGGGCGUAAAGAGCUCGUAGGCGGUUUGUCGCGUCGGCUGUGAAAACUCGGGGCUCAACCCCGAGCCUGCAGUCGAUACGGGCAGACUAGAGUGCUGUAGGGGAGACUGGAAUUCCUGGUGUAGCGGUGAAAUGCGCAGAUAUCAGGAGGAACACCGGUGGCGAAGGCGGGUCUCUGGGCAGUAACUGACGCUGAGGAGCGAAAGCGUGGGGAGCGAACAGGAUUAGAUACCCUGGUAGUCCACGCCGUAAACGGUGGGUGCUAGGUGUGAGCGGUAUUCCACGCCGUUCGUGCCGCAGCUAACGCAUUAAGCACCCCGCCUGGGGAGUACGGCCGCAAGGCUAAAACUCAAAGGAAUUGACGGGGGCCCGCACAAGCAGCGGAGCAUGUGGCUUAAUUCGACGCAACGCGAAGAACCUUACCAAGGCUCGACAUACACCGAAAACUCGUAGAGAUACGGGGUCCGCAAGGGCGGUGUACA